rnacentral:rRNA from 1 species
GAUCAUGGCUCAGGAUGAACGCUAGCUACAGGCUUAACACAUGCAAGUCGAGGGGCAGCAUGGUCUUAGCUUGCUAAGGCCGAUGGCGACCGGCGCACGGGUGAGUAACGCGUAUCCAACCUGCCUUACACUCUUGGACAGCCUUCUGAAAGGGAGAUUAAUACAAGAUGUUAUCAUGAGUAAGCUAUUUUCACAUGUAAGUUUAAACGGGUUUACCGGUAGUAAGAGUGGGGAUGUCCG